UACGUAGGUGGCAAGCGUUGUCCGGAUUUAUUGGGUUUAAAGGGUGCGUAGGCGGUUUUUAAGUCAGUGGUGAAAUAUCGUCAGCUUAACUGGCGAGGUGCCAUUGAUACUGGGGAACUUGAGUACUGGAUGAGGUAGGCGGAAUGGACGGUGUAGCGGUGGAAUGCUUAGAUAUCGUCCAGAACACCGAUAGCGAAGGCAGCUUACUAAAGAGUAACUGACGCUGAGGCACGAAAGUGUGGGGAGCGAACAGG
rnacentral:rRNA from 1 species